rnacentral:rRNA from 1 species
GAUGAACGCUGGCGGCGUGCUUAACACAUGCAAGUCGAACGAUGAAGCCCAGCUUGCUGGGUGGAUUAGUGGCGAACGGGUGAGUAACACGUGAGUAACCUGCCCUUAACUCUGGGAUAAGCCUGGGAAACUGGGUCUAAUACCGGAUAGGAGCGUCCACCGCAUGGUGGGUGUUGGAAAGAUUUAUCGGUUUUGGAUGGACUCGCGGCCUAUCAGCUUGUUGGUGGGGUAAUGGCUCACCAAGGCGACGACGGGUAGCCGGCCCGAGAGGGUGACCGGCCACACUGGGACUGAGACACGGCCCAGACUCCUACGGGAGGCAGCAGUGGGGGAUAUUGCACAAUGGGCGCAAGCCUGAUGCAGCGACGCCGCGUGAGGGAUGACGGCCUUCGGGUUGUAAACCUCUUUCAGUAGGGAAGAAGCGAAAGUGACGGUACCUGCAGAAGAAGCACCGGCUAACUACGUG